UACGUAGGGGGCGAGCGUUGUCCGAAGUUACUGGGCGUAAAGCGCGCGUAGGCGGGUUGGCAAGUCUGCUGUGAAAUCCUGGAGCUCAACUCCAGAACUGCCUUUGAUACUGAGGAUCUUGAGUCCGGGAGAGGUGAGUGGAACUCCGAGUGUAGAGGUGAAAUUCGUAGAUAUUCGGAAGAACACCAGUGGCGAAGGCGGCUCACUGGCCCGGUACUGACGCUGAGGUGCGAAAGCGUGGGGAGCAAACAGG
rnacentral:rRNA from 1 species